AUGGAGAGACUUGGAAAUCUAGAAGAGAAAGAUGGUUCAAAAGUGUUUCAUUUAAAUUCACAAAACCAAUACCCCAUGAACAAUUACAAAAUACAUUCAAAAUCAAACCAAAUCAUUACAACAUCAUCGUGGUCACCAUUACAAAGAAGAUUACAAAGAGAGUUUACAUGGAAAUGCCAAAAUCUACUUAUCCUAGACCUAAGCUCGUUAUUAGUACAUCUCCAUUUUUUUAAACCAGCUUCAAGACAUUUUCAACCUCCCCAUGGCCAAACUUCCAAUCUCCAAUCUUUCUUUAUGCUAUUGCUUCUUUAA